AUACGGAGGGUGCAAGCGUUAAUCGGAAUUACUGGGCGUAAAGCGCGCGUAGGCGGUUUAGUAAGUCGGAUGUGAAAGCCCCGGGCUCAACCUUGGAACUGCAUUUGAAACUGGCAUACUAGAGUAUAGGAGAGGAAAGUGGAAUUUCAGGUGUAGCGGUGAAAUGCGUAGAUAUCUGAAGGAACAUCAAUGGCGAAGGCAGCUUUCUGGACUAAUACUGACACUGAGGUACGAAAGCGUGGGUAGCAAACAGGAUUAGAAACCCUAGUAGUCC
rnacentral:rRNA from 1 species